GACGAACGCUGGCGGCGUGCUUAACACAUGCAAGUCGAACGAAGUGGCGAACUGGUGAGUAACGCGUAAUCAACCUGCCCUUCAGCGGGGGACAACAGUUGGAAACGACUGCUAAUACCGCAUACUUAAGGUGGGGCCUGCGUCUGAUUAGGUAGUGGGAGGGGUAACGGCCCACCAAGGCGAUGAUCAGUAGGCGGGCCGAGAGGAGGGACCGCCAAAAUGGGAAUGGGGCACGGCCCAGGCUUCUACGGGGGGCAGGCGGGGGGGAUCUUCCGAAAUGGAGGGAAAUCUGGCGGAGCAACGCCGCGUGGGUGAUGGCAGGCUUCGGGUUGGAAAGCUCUGUUAAUCGGGACGCGGUACCGGAAUAGAAAGCCACGGCUAACUACGUGCCAGCAGCCGCGGUAAUAC
rnacentral:rRNA from 1 species